UAGCUCAGUUGGUAGAGCAUGUGACUUUUGACCUCAAGGUUGUGAGUUGAAGCCUCAC
rnacentral:tRNA from 1 species